rnacentral:lncRNA from 1 species
AGUGCAACGGCUGAAUGCAGAGAGUGGGGGGGGCAGCGUCUGCAGUGCAUGCAGUGUCUGGGUGCAGUGGGUUUGCAGCGCCUGCAGUGUUUAUUUGCAGCACCUGCAGCGCCUGCAGUGCAUGCAGUGUUUGUCUGCAGCACCUGCAGUGCGUGCAGCACCUGGGUGCAGUGUCUGCAGUGUCUGGGUGCAGUGUCUGCAGCAUUUGCAGUGCAUGCAGUGCCUGGGUGCAGUGGGUGCAGUGGGUUUGCAGCGCCUGCAGUGUUUAUUUGCAGUGGGUGCAGUGCCUGCAGUGUGUGCAGUGUUUGUCUGCAGUGUCUGCAACGGCUGUGUGCAGUGCCUGCAGCAUCUGCAGUGCAUGCAGUGUCUGUGUGCAGCAUCUGCAGUGGGCUUGCAGCGCCUGCAGCAUUUAUUUGCAGUGGGUACAGCGUCUGCAGUGGGUGCAGUGGGUGCUGUUUGCAGCAUCUGCAGCGCCUGCAGUGUUUAUUUGCAGUGUUUGCAGUGGGUGCAGCCUCUGCAGCAUCUACAGUGUGUGCAGUAUUUGCAGCGGGUGCUGUUUGCAGUGUCUGCAGUGGGUACAGUGGGGGUGCAGGGUUUAUUUGCAGUGUCUGCAGCGGGUGCGGUGCAUGCAGCGUCUGCAGUACUUGCACUGGGUGAAGCGUCUGCAGUGCGUGCAGUAUUAUUUGCAGUGAGUGCAGUCCCUGCAGCGGGUUUGCAGCAGCAUCUGCAGUGCCUGCAGUGUUUAUUUGCAGUGUCUGCAGGGGGGUUGCAGCACCUGCAGUGCCUGUGUGCAGGGCGUGCAGGGCGUGCAGUAUUUAUUUGCAGUGCCUGCAGUAUGUGCAGUGGUAGCAGUGGGUUUGCAGUGCUUGUGUGCAGGGCGUGCGGGGUGUGUGUGCAGUGCAUGCAGUGCGUGCAGUGGAUGCAGCGUGUGUGGUGCCUGCAGCGUUGGCUGCAGCGCCUGCAGCACAUGCAGUGUGUGCAGUUGUGUAGCGUGUGCAGUGCAUGCAGUGCACGCAGCGUGUGCAACGUGUGCAAUGUGUGCAGUGCCUGCAGUGGUCGCAGCGGGUGUGCAGGAGCCCACACUGCAUGUUUGCUGCGCGUGCGGGGCGUGCGAGCGCGUGCUUGGCGUGUGCUUGGUGUGUGCUCUGCGUGUGCAGCGCCUGUGCUUUGUGUGUGCGGUGCCCGCGCUGUGUCCCCUCCCUGCACUGCGCGUUUGCUGCGUUCCACGUGUGUUGCGUUCCACGCCUGCGCCACACGCGUGUGCACGGCCCGCACAGCAGCACGAACAGCAUGAAGCGCGUGCAAGGCCAGCAGUGCCUGCAGCCUGUGCAACGUGUGUGCACACACGUGUGCCGGGUGUGGGCCACGAGCUCAGGCCCUCUGCGUUUUGUGUGUGUUCGUGUGUGCUCAUGUGUGUUUGUUGUUUGUGUUCACAUGUGCUCAAGUGUGUUCAUGUGUGCUCAUACGCGUGGUGUGUUCAUACCUAUGCAUGUUCAUGUGUGCUGAUGCGUGUUCGUGUGCUGCGUGUGUGUUUGUGUGCGCAACCUGUGCUGGCGUGUGUGUGGCGUGUUCAUACCUAUGCGUGUUCGUACCUAUGUGUGUUCACAUGUGCUGAUGUGUGUUCAUGUGUGGUGCUGCAUGUGUGUUUGCGUGCACAACCCGUGCUGGCGUGUGCGUGGCGUGUUCACACCUAUGCAUGUUCACGUGUGCUGCUGCGUGUUUGUGCGCUGCGUGUGUGUUUGCGUGCACAACCCGUGCUGGCGUGUGCGUGGCGUGUUCAUACCUAUGUGUGUUCAUACCUAUGCGUGUUCACAUGUGCUGAUGUGUGUUGCCUGUGUGUUUGCGUGCACAACCCGUGCUGGCAUGUGCAUGGCAUGUGCGUGGCGUGUGUGUGACGUGUGCGUGGCGUGUUCAUACCUAUGUGUGUUCGUACCUACACAUGUUCACGUGUGCUGCUGCGUGUUCGUGCGCUGCGUGUGUGUUUGCGUGCACAACCCGUGCUGC